rnacentral:rRNA from 1 species
AGUGAACGCUGGCGGUAGGCCUAACACAUGCAAGUCGAACGGCAGCACGGUAAGAGCUUGCUCUUACGGGUGGCGAGUGGCGGACGGGUGAGGAAUACAUCGGAAUCUACUUUUUCGUGGGGGAUAACGUAGGGAAACUUACGCUAAUACCGCAUACGACCUACGGGUGAAAGCAGGGGAUCUUCGGACCUUGCGCGAUUGAAUGAGCCGAUGUCGGAUUAGCUAGUUGGCGGGGUAAAGGCCCACCAAGGCGACGAUCCGUAGCUGGUCUGAGAGGAUGAUCAGCCACACUGGAACUGAGACACGGUCCAGACUCCUACGGGAGGCGGCAGUGGGGAAUAUUGGACAAUGGGCGCAAGCCUGAUCCAGCCAUACCGCGUGGGUGAAGAAGGCCUUCGGGUUGUAAAGCCCUUUUGUUGGGAAAGAAAAGCAGCAGGUUAAUACCCCGCUGUUCUGACGGUACCCAAAGAAUAAGCACCGGCUAACUUCGUG